UUUCCGUAGGUGAACCUGCGGAAGGAUCAUUAAAGAGAUCAUGCCCUUACGGGUAGACCUCCCACCCUUUGUUUACAAUACCUUUGUUGCUUUGGCGGGCCCGUUUGGCCCCGCGCUGAACAACCGGCCCCGGCUGGUCAGUGCCCGCCAGAGAACCGAAAACUCUGAAUUAAAUGUCGUCUGAGUACUAUGUAAUAGUUAAAACUUUCAACAACGGAUCUCUUGGUUCUG
rnacentral:misc_RNA from 1 species